GCCAGUGUGGGGCAGUGGUUUGAAUGUUGGACUAGGACUCUGGAGACCAAGGUUUGAAUCCCAGCUCAGCCA